UACGUAGGGUGCAAGCGUUGUCCGGAAUUAUUGGGCGUAAAGAGCUCGUAGGCGGCGCGGUAAGUCGGGUGUGAAAUCUCGGGGCUUAACUCCGAAACUGCAUUCGAUACUGCCGUGCUUGAGGACUGGAGAGGAGACUGGAAUUUACGGUGUAGCGGUGAAAUGCGUAGAUAUCGUAAGGAAGACCAGUGGCGAAGGCGGGUCUCUGGACAGUUCCUGACGCUGAGGCACGAAGGUCAGGGGAGCAAACGGG
rnacentral:rRNA from 1 species